UACGUAGGGUGCAAGCGUUGUCCGGAAUUAUUGGGCGUAAAGAGCUCGUAGGCGGUUUGUCGCGUCUGCUGUGAAAACUCGGGGCUCAACUCCGAGCUUGCAGUGGGUACGGGCAGACUAGAGUGCGGUAGGGGAGACUGGAAUUCCUGGUGUAGCGGUGAAAUGCGUAGAUAUCGGGAGGAACACCUGAGGCGAAGGCGGGCUACUGGGCCGAUACUGACGCUGAUGUGCGAAAGCCAGGGGAGCGAACGGG
rnacentral:rRNA from 1 species